rnacentral:misc_RNA from 1 species
UUAAGUUCAGCGGGUAUCCCUACCUGAUCCGAGGUCAACCAUAAGAGUGUGGGUUCUGGCAGGUAACCGCGAGGCUCUAGAGCGAGAGAUGUACUACGCUUAGAGCCGGACGGCACCGCCACUGGCUUUGGGGCCGGCCGCGGGGGCUUGGCCCAACACCAAGCAGAGCUUGAGGGUUGAAAUGACGCUCGAACAGGCAU